rnacentral:rRNA from 1 species
UGGGUUUAAAGGGAGCGUAGGCUGGAGAUUAAGUGUGUUGUGAAAUGUAGACGCUCAACGUCUGAAUUGCAGCGCAUACUGGUUUCCUUGAGUACGCACAACGUUGGCGGAAUUCGUCGUGUAGCGGUGAAAUGCUUAGAUAUGACGAAGAACUCCGAUUGCGAAGGCAGCUGACGGGAGCGCAACUGACGCUUAAGCUCGAAGGUGCGGGUAUCAAACAGGAUUAGAUACCCUGGUAGUCCGCACAGUAAACGAUGGAUGCCCGCUGUUGGUACCUGGUAUCAGCGGCUAAGCGAAAGCAUUAAGCAUCCCACCUGGGGAGUACGCCGGCAACGGUGAAACUCAAAGGAAUUGACGGGGGCCCGCACAAGCGGAGGAACAUGUGGUUUAAUUCGAUGAUACGCGAGGAACCUUACCCGGGCUUGAAUUGCAGAGGAAGGAUUUAGAGAUAAUGACGCCCUUCGGGGUCUCUGUGAAGGUGCUGCAUGGUUGUCGUCAGCUCGUGUCGUGAGAAG